AAGCAGCUUGGCAAUGCGGCGGCCGGCGGGGCGACGGCUCGGUGAGUCCGUGCUGCGGAGCCUGGUGGCCGGGGGCUAGGCAUGUGCUAGUAAAUCAGCUCGGGACCCAGAGGCACGUCCCGUCGCCUUGCUCCGCAGUUCCCCGCGAGGGCGAGGGCGAGGCAACGGCCCGGGAACCCCGGAAUCGUGGAGCUCGCAACGCGCGCCGCCGGGCGGAUGCCGUCGGGAGGACAGCAGUCCGGUGACGCGCUGUGCGGAGGAAAAUACGUGAAUCCAGGUAAAGGAAGCAGUUUUUUUGGGGAAAAAAGGUUGAGAAAGAAUUCAACAACAGUUGCUGAAGGCUUGCGGAAGAUUUGAUGAGCAAGAUAGUACUCCCUCCGUCCCAAAAUUUUUGCUUUAUUUUGAGAUGAUGUUGUGGAUGUCAGCAACCUGGGCCUCGCUGGGCUCUCGACCACUGCCCAGCCCAUGAAGGAGAUGGACUACAUAUACUACAGAGGGAGGCCGCUGCACACAACUUGGCUUGGAACUGGACGGAAGGCUUCGGCUUAGGCAUAAAGUUCUUCUUCCUCUAGUUCCUCUCAAAUUCUCCAUCGACAAGCUUCAAUCCUUCGGUAAUUCAAGUGCACUGCUCUCUGUUGGUGAAUUAGUACUGGGAUCCUCACACUGCUGAUGCUCUGUCCUAGGUGUAGCUCUAGCAUUACUGUUGGGUUUUCUUCUGUAUCAAGUGUUAUACAAUCCGUUCAGGUUCUGGUUCAGGCAGGGACUGGACGAAGACAAAUUCCUGCCUUUCUUUUUACCCCUUGUC